rnacentral:rRNA from 1 species
GACCCUUUAAGGGUCCUGAAGGAACGUUGAAGACGACGACGUUGAUAGGCCGGGUGUGUAAGCGCAGCGAUGCGUUGAGCUAACCGGUACUAAUGAACCGUGAGGCUUAACCUUACAACGCCGAAGGUGUUU